UAGGGAAUCUUGCGCAAUGGGCGAAAGCCUGACGCAGCCAUGCCGCGUGAAUGAUGAAGGUCUUAGGAUUGUAAAAUUCUUUCACCGGGGAAGAUAAUGACGGUACCCGGAGAAGAAGCCCCGGCUAACUUCGUGCCAGCAGCCGCGGUAAUACGAAGGGGGCUAGCGUUGCUCGGAAUUACUGGGCGUAAAGGGCGCGUAGGCGGAUGUCUAAGUUGGGGGUGAAAUCCCGGGGCUCAACCUCGGAACCGCCUUCAAUACUGGAUAUCUUGAGUUCGGGAGAGGUGAGUGGAAUGCCGAGUGUAGAGGUGAAAUUCGUAGAUAUUCGGCGGAACACCAGUGGCGAAGGCGACUCACUGGCCCGAUACUGACGCUGAGGCGCGAAAGCGUGGGGAGCAAACA
rnacentral:rRNA from 1 species